AGAGUUUGAUCCUGGCUCAGAUUGAACGCUGGCGGCAUGCCUUACACAUGCAAGUCGAACGGCAGCACGGAGCUUGCUCUGGUGGCGAGUGGCGAACGGGUGAGUAAUAUAUCGGAACGUACCCUAGAGUGGGGGAUAACGUAGCGAAAGUUACGCUAAUACCGCAUACGAUCUAAGGAUGGAAGUGGGGGAUCGCAAGACCUCAUGCUCGUGGAGCGGCCGAUAUCUGAUUAGCUAGUUGGUAGGGUAAAAGCCUACCAAGGCAUCGAUCAGUAGCUGGUCUGAGAGGACGACCAGCCACACUGGAACUGAGACACGGUCCAGACUCCUACGGGAGGCAGCAGUGGGGAAUUUUGGACAAUGGGCGAAAGCCUGAUCCAGCAAUGCCGCGUGAGUGAAGAAGGCCUUCGGGUUGUAAAGCUCUUUUGUCAGGGAAGAAACGGUGAGAGCUAAUAUCUCUUGCUAAUGACGGUACCUGAAGAAUAAGCACCGGCUAACUACGUGCCAGCAGCCGCGGUAAUACGUAGGGUGCAAGCGUUAAUCGGAAUUACUGGGCGUAAAGCGUGCGCAGGCGGUUUUGUAAGUCUGAUGUGAAAUCCCCGGGCUCAACCUGGGAAUUGCAUUGGAGACUGCAAGGCUAGAAUCUGGCAGAGGGGGGUAGAAUUCCACGUGUAGCAGUGAAAUGCGUAGAUAUGUGGAGGAACACCGAUGGCGAAGGCAGCCCCCUGGGUCAAGAUUGACGCUCAUGCACGAAAGCGUGGGGAGCAAACAGGAUUAGAUACCCUGGUAGUCC
rnacentral:rRNA from 1 species